GACUUAAAAACAUGAAAAAGAGAAAAAUAACAAAAAAAUGAGAUACAACAAAAUAUCUGAAUCCACAUCAAUAGACUAAGAUUAAAGCUAGCACUAAUAAAUAAGAAGCCCAACAAAGACUUCCAUUUACAUAAGAAUCGUCGACAUUCUACAGACUAUUGGACACCAAUUAAUAGUGGAUAAGACUGACAUGAGUUUCCCAAGGCAACUUUAAGGUACAAUUGGACCUCCACGAAUUCUUCCUUCUGAAUGCAGGGAAUCACUUGAAAUAGGUG
rnacentral:lncRNA from 1 species